CCUACGGGUGGCAGCAGUGAGGAAUAUUGGUCAAUGGGCGGAAGCCUGAACCAGCCAAGUAGCGUGCAGGAUGACGGCCCUACGGGUUGUAAACUGCUUUUAUACGGGAAUAACGCGCCUUACGUGUAGGGCUUUGCAUGUACCGUAUGAAUAAGGACCGGCUAAUUCCGUGCCAGCAGCCGCGGUAAUACGGAAGGUCCGGGCGUUAUCCGGAUUUAUUGGGUUUAAAGGGAGCGUAGGCCGCAUGUCAAGCGUGCGGUGAAAUGUCCGGGCUCAACCCGGGCCUUGCAGCGCAAACUGGCGUGCUUGAGUGCGCGGAAAGCAGGCGGAAUUCGUGGUGUAGCGGUGAAAUGCUUAGAUAUGACGAAGAACACCGAUUGCGAAGGCAGCAUACCGGCGGCGAUCUGACGCUGAGGCACGAAAGCGUGGGUAUCGAACAGGAUUAGAUACCCUAGUAGUC
rnacentral:rRNA from 1 species